AAGUCGUAACAAGGUUUCCGUAGGUGAACCUGCGGAAGGAUCAUUAAUGAUUGGCCUUUGGCCUUAUCAAAAUCCACACACCUCUGUGAACUGUUGGCCCUCGGGCCUUUUUACAAAACUUGGUGUAAUGAACGUAACAUAACAAAACAUAAUAAAACUUUCAACAACGGAUCUCUUGGCUCUC
rnacentral:misc_RNA from 1 species